rnacentral:rRNA from 1 species
AUGACCAGCAAAAGAGUGAGGAAAAAGUGCACUGCAAGCCCAGAUGAGACUAUAAAAGAAACAAGUUCACUGCACGCCACUCGUUCCCUUGUUCUUUAUCUCUGGUCUUUGUCAGUUGCGGUGUUGUUUCUGAGAAAUGCAGUGCGCCGGCGCCGGCUUGCAUUUCACUGUAGUUCGUUCGCCCCGCCUCGUAGUAGUCAAGAGAUGUAUAGAUCGCAGCUCUCUCGAAAACCUGCAUUGAAGCAAACAACAAAAAAACUUUUUUUAGGUGCAGCUCACUUGUUUCAUUGCCGCAGUGAUCUUCUCUCUCCCAAUGGUUCACUAUGUUGCCAAGUGCAAAAACAAAUUGGAAAAGUUUAUUUUUUUAGUGCAGCUCACUCUGUUGUUGUGUGCAGUAGAAAGAAAAUUGGAAAAAUAAAAAUUGAUGCGCUCACUCUGUUGUUGUGUGCAGUAGAAAGAAAAUUGGAAAAGUUUAUUUUUUUAGUGCAGCUCACUCUGUUGUUGUGUGCAGUAGAAAGAAAAUUGGAAAAAGAAAAAUUGAUGCGCUCACUCUAUUGUUGUGUGCAGUAG